AUAUGAUGUUAUAUCGGAGUAGGUCAGUUUAGAGACUGGGAUGCUCGUUGACGGAGGAGAAAUUCGUGAAUACGAUGCGUGAUAAAAUGCGUUCAUACAGGGAAACUUGUUCCGUUGGGCUAUGUGGGAUGCUAAUUGCGUUUUUGUUAGGCACAGCACUGGUGGAGCCUGUGACGUCACAAACUGAACACGUUUUGCUUAACUGCACAUUUGAAGAUCCCACCAUUUGUAACUUCAAGUUCGACCGGAAUCACAGUCAGGCUGAGUGGAUACGGCACCGAGGACAAACUCCGAGUAGUAGGACAGGGCCCGAUGGUGAUCACACGACUGGUGAUAAAACUAAGGAGAUGUUGUAGGCAAGGGUUUACGCUUCUUUAUACAACUACGAUAUUGAAAACAAAAGAAUCAGAGGGAGGAGGGAAGCAGGAUGACGAUGGAUACUACAUGUACAUGGAGGCGAGUAGGGUCCUUCCAGACUCACAGGCCAGACUUCAGUUUCCACCACUGCCUAGAUCCACGACUCCGCGCUGAGUGCACUUUUCAUACCACUUGCUUACUUUAUAUGGUGUAAUUGGCGGACUCCUAGAGGUUGUAGGUCACGGAGGCAAUGGUUCUAUCCGUAUAUGGUCAAUAUCAGGUAGUGUGCGUGUGCGUGUACGUGUGCAUGUGCGUUUACUACAGAGAAACAUGUCAAAUGACACUCCCUUCAUUUGAUUAAUCUACUCCACAAAUAAAUGUAGCUGUCAGUAAAUAUAAAACUUUUACUUUCAAUAACAAAAAUAUGUAAAAAUUAUGAAUUUCUGUUUUCAUUUUCACAAGGAAACCAAGGAUCACAAUGGAAAAACGCGAAAGUUACUAUCCCUGCCGAUAUAGUAAACAUAGAAUUUGUAGCCGUUCGU